GAUGAACGCUAGCGGCAGGCCUAACACAUGCAAGUCGAGGGGUAGAAGGCUUCGGCCUUUGAGACCGGCGCACGGGUGCGUAACGCGUAUGCAAUCUGCCUUACACUGGGGGAUAGCCCAGAGAAAUUUGGAUUAAUACCCCAUAGUAUUUUUGCCUGGCAUCGGGUGAUUAUUAAAGUUUUUCGGUGUAAGAUGAGCAUGCGUCCCAUUAGCUAGUUGGUAUGGUAACGGCAUACCAAGGCAAUGAUGGGUAGGGGUCCUGAGAGGGAGUUCCCCCACACUGGGACGGAGACACGGACCAGACUCCUACGGGAGGCAGCAGUGAGGAAUAUUGGUCAAUGGGCGAGAGCCUGAACCAGCCAUGCCGCGUGCAGGAUGAAGCAUCUAUGGUGUGUAAACUGCUUUUGUACGGGAAGAAACACCUCUACGUGUAGAGGCUUGACGGUACCGUAAGAAUAAGGAUCGGCUAACUCCGUGCCAGCAGCCGCCGUAA
rnacentral:rRNA from 1 species